AGUCUUCCAGCCAUGCAGCAGCCAGUCAGCCAGGGUGGGGGGUGGAAUGAAAGAGUUACUGUGGUGGCAAAUCAAUGAGUGCCCCUCCCCCUUCACUCAGGAAUUGACUCCUUCAUGGGAAUGAUAGGAGGCUGCGGAGUGUAAUUGCACAUGUGCUUGGGGCUGAGAGUGGGUGGGGGUGGGCUUGAUGAGAGUGCAGCCCCCCCACAUGGCCUCAUAGGAGCAGCAACAUCUAAUACAGCAAAGUGGGUGGUGUGAGCCUGUCUGUCUUACAUACUGUCACCUGUAUCAGAGCAGGAGAUGGAGACACGUGGAAUCUGGCAAGUGGAGGCUCCCACUGUGUCAACAACAAUCUGUCCACUCGUGAUGGAUGAUAAUGUGACCAUAUGGGUGGAUGGAUGGAUGGCUUGCAUUCCCAGGAGAAGAAGAGUGGUCAGAGCAUUGACAAGCACCCCACCCCACCCCCUGUUCUGGAAAUAAUACUCGAGGACGACCUGAUUUGGUGCCAGAGUAUUAGCAGGCAUUGAUUCAAACCCCUAACCAGCCUUCUUGUCAGCCUUCUUCUUUGUCUUCUUCUCCAUUUUUUUCCCCUAGUCUUGGGGCUUGUGCCUGCCCUUGAAUGAGUCCCAUCAAACUGGGAAUUAGGGUUGGCUUUGCCAUCCCAAAAGAAUGUGUUUGCUGAAACAAUGGGCCUUGAUAACUGUGAUUGUUACAGAGUCCUCUUUGUGCUUAUAUCCAAAGCUGGAUUAAUAUCUAAUUCUGCUACAGUUGUGUGCCAUAACCUUCACAAAUGAUUCUAAGAGUAACACAUACAUGUCCACCUCAUCCCAAAGAAAAGAAAUAGAACUAAAAUAAAUAUACAGAUUGCACUGACUUAUGGGUCUGAAUGUUUGUCUCAUGCAUGGAGUGAAAAGGGGGGUAGCUUCUCAUCAACAUCCCCCUCACCUCUACAUGCAAAUACAAAGACCACAUGAAAUUGAUGCCCUCUUCCCUCUCUAUCCAUGAACAUCUUGCUGGUGGCAUCACUGUAAAAGGGGGUUGUGACCCAUAGCCAUAGCCAUAGCCAUCACAACUAAGGCCCCAUAAAAAAAAUCCACCCACUGCAUGGAUGGUCCAAGGAACCCUAACACUUCACAGAUUUACAAUGGUAAGACCUAAUGGCAUGUCUGGAUGUCUGGUCACAUCCAGAUACAGGGUGAGAGAAUAUUUUUAAAUAUGCAUGGAGUACAAUGUAUGGCAAACAUUUGCAAAUUGGACACACACACACACACACACACACACAGUGAUUCAAAUUCUCUUACACUUUGCAGUCUCACCAGCCAGUUAUUGCAUCUUUCCAUCAGUUUUCUGACGCUGGAUAAGUGCCCAGAUCGCCCCUGGCUUUGGGCACUCCAUGUGAAUAGGACAACGGUUAUAGAAACCGCAUGGAAAAUAUCGCGGUCCUAUGACCGGUGAAGAGGGACCCGUCGUUGAAGUCUGCUUUGUUGCGAUUUUGCUCCACGACGGGGGAUUUCGCUGCUCCGAGAGCUUCCAAAUUUGCAAAAUCUCACGUGAGAUACAAACUGGGUCGUUUAAUUUACGGUGGAAAUUUCCACUCUCUUCAAUGCCCAAGAGCGGCGCCAUCUGUUCUGCGGCGGAUCGCAGCGUUAUGGUUUAGUCGAAGAUGCGGAGGAGGGGGGGAUCGGCCGCAUCGGAGAUGAUGGUAGUGGCCCCAGAGGAGCAGCGGUGGGCGUUUCUGUCUUGUGGGAGUCAAGAUAUUGGAGAGAAGUCGACUUCGUCGUGUUUUGACGAGCGCUGGUGAGAUUCCAUCAAAGAUCCGGAUGCAGAGGCGGCUGGUUUGCGCGUUGUGCUGGUUGUCCAUCUGGCUGUCAAUCGUUGCGAUCGUUACCACUGCGUCCGGUUCUCCCUCCUCACCGAAGAAAUUAUCGUCGUCGUUUAGGACACGCCUCGGUUGUGUCCUUCCUGGAGGUGGCGACCGAGAUGCGCUCACCUGUUGCUAUGGGUGCCUUAGAUCUCAAUAGCGUUAACUAUUCAGUUACAAAAAUCACUUUCUUAUUUCCAAAGCUUCCUUUCUGUCUUCCAAGAUGGAUGGGAAAAAAGAUGAGUAAACCCAGUUUCGUUAAAAGACUCAUCCAACUGUCACUAUUUUAUUAUUAUAUUUUAAGAAAUUAUAACCUUCUAUCAACUUCUUUGGCCUGAAUAAA